rnacentral:rRNA from 1 species
UACGUAGGGGGCGAGCGUUGUCCGGAGUUACUGGGCGUAAAGGGCAUGCAGGCGGUCGGACGCGUUUCGGGUGACAGCGGGUGGCUUAACUACCCGAGUGGUCGAAAGACGGUUUGACUUGAGGACGCGAGAGGGACACGGAAUUCCGGGUGGAGUGGUGAAAUGCGUAGAGAUCCGGAGGAACACCGAAGGCGAAGGCAGUGUCCUGGCGCGUAACUGACGCUGAGGUGCGAAAGCCAGAGGAGCGAACGGG